AAUGGACCCGGACAGUCGGUUCCGAUAUAUGAGCAACUUAUGUAGUCACAUCGCGCGCACGCCGGGUCUUGUAGAUUCCCGUAGUAUCUGGACAAUAACGGAGUUUGAAGGCAGCGGAUUUGCCGCUAUCAGGGAGAUUCUUCGAUCGACGCCUCCCUACCGAGGCGUAUCGAUCAAUCGUCCGACUCCAGAGCAAGCAAUUGCCUUAAUUGGUCUGUUUAGCGAGGUGGUUGAUUCUUGCCGGUACGUGGUGGUGGGUAUCUUAGUUCUUUCUCGAGAGUCAGACAGUUAGGAACGAUACAGAGCUGGACCAUUCAAAGGGGUACAACUCAGUUUAAUUCGGCGUCCGAGGUGCGGUCCACCACGGGAAGGUAGUUAAGGAAAUUCAAAGUCGGAACGCUGGUAUGAGGGGAGCCUUGGGUUUCUGAAACUAAAGAGUAUUACACGGCCGCCUCAGGAUAUUCGUUGUAGGCGGCUAGGGACCAGCCGUAGCAAAUACCAACUCUGAUCCUGCCAUAGACUAGCAGAAGCUCGGGGGUUGAAAGCAGAACUAAUUACUUUUGUAGGAACCGUUUACGAAAGUGUCAACAAGCAGAAAGUAUUUAGGUUCUUAAAGUGGAGACUGAUACUUUAUGCUUACGGGGGCUGACAGGGAUAAUUAGUAAUGAGGCUAGGCCUUCCGGUUGUGUUAUCCUGGCCUUAGGAUACUACAAUAGGGUACGAUUACAUAGGUCUCUCUACCGAACGAAACUCGUGAGAUUAAAGAAGUUUCAUUGCUACGGCCUUUGUACUGGGCCGGUGAAUUCCGAUCCUCGCGCUACGGCCGGCUUCCCAGCUCAUCCAGCCACGAGUGGCACUCCGCCUGGCCGGCUGGGCCGGGUUCCAGGUUGAUGCUCGAAAA
rnacentral:rRNA from 1 species